GAUGAACGCUAGCGGCAGGCCUAACACAUGCAAGUCGAGGGGUAGAGAGAGCUUGCUUUCUUGAGACCGGCGGAUGGGUGAGUAACGCGUAUGCAACCUACCUUUUACAGGGGAAUAGCCCGGAGAAAUUCGGAUUAAUGCUCCAUGGUUUAUAGAUAUGGCAUCGUAUUUAUAAUAAAGAUUUAUCGGUAAAAGAUGGGCAUGCGUAUCAUUAGCUAGUUGGUGUGGUAACGGCAUACCAAGGCGACGAUGAUUAGGGGUCCUGAGAGGGAGAUCCCCCACACUGGUACUGAGACACGGACCAGACUCCUACGGGAGGCAGCAGUGAGGAAUAUUGGUCAAUGGGAGGCAACUCUGAACCAGCCAUGCCGCGUGCAGGAUGACGGUCCUAUGGAUUGUAAACUGCUUUUGUACGGGAAGAAUGUAGUUACGUGUAACUAUUUGACGGUACCGUAAGAAUAAGGAUCGGCUAACUCCGUGCCAGCCGCCGCGGUAAC
rnacentral:rRNA from 1 species